GCCGGGUGUGGUGGCGCAUGCCUGUAAUCCCAGCUACUUGGGAGGCUGAGGCAGGAGAAUCGCUUGAACCCGGGAGGCAGAUGUUGCAGUGAGCCAAGAUUGAGCCACUGCACUCCAGCCUGGGUGACAAAGUGAGACUCCGUCUCAA
rnacentral:SRP_RNA from 1 species